rnacentral:rRNA from 1 species
GACGAACGCUGGCGGCGUGGAUUAGGCAUGCAAGUCGGACGGUAGGGCUUUAUCGUAAGAUAGAGUUUGAGAGUGGCGAACGGGUGAGUAACACGUAGGAAUCUACCCUUAAGACGGGGACAACCCAGGGAAACUUGGGCUAAUACCGGAUGUGAGCAACUUUUAGUUGUUUGAAAGGUGGCGUAAGCUGUCGCUUGGGGAUGAGCCUGCGUCCUAUUAGUUAGUUGGUGAGGUAACGGCUCACCUAGGCAAUGAUAGGUAGGCGGCCUUAACGGGUGGUCGCCCACACUGGGAUUGAGAUACGGCCCAGACUCCUACGGGAGGCAGCAGUCGAGAAUAGUCUACAAUGGUCGGAAGACUGAUAGUGCGACGCCGCGUGAACGAUGAAUCCCUUCGGGGUGUAAAGUUCUUUUAUAUGUGAGCAGUGCUUCUUAUAUUAACAGUAUGGGGAAGAGAUAUUAGCAUAUGAAUAAGCAACGGCUAACUCCGUGCCAGCAGCCGCGGUAAAC